rnacentral:tRNA from 1 species
GCAGUGGUAGUUCCGUGGCAGAAUUUCCACUUUCCAUGUGAGAAGCCUGGGUUCAAUUCCUGGCCAAUGCA